CCUACGGGGGGCAGCAGUGAGGAAUAUUGGUCAAUGGCCGGAAGGCUGAACCAGCCAAGCCGCGUGAAGGACGAAGGUGCCAAGCAUUGUAAACUUCUUUUGUCAAGGGAUAAAAUCAGGCUCGAGAGCCUGAUCGAGGGUACUUGAAGAAAAAGCAUCGGCUAACUCCGUGCCAGCAGCCGCGGUAAUACGGAGGAUGCGAGCGUUAUCCGGAUUUAUUGGGUGUAAAGGGCGUGUAGGCGGGUCUGCAAGUCAGAUGUGAAAAUUAUGGGCUCAACCCAUAACCUGCAUUUGAAACUGGAGGUCUUGAGUGAAGGAGAGGCAGGCGGAAUUCCGUGUGUAGCGGUGAAAUGCGUAGAUAUACGGAGGAACACCAGUGGCGAAGGCGGCCUGCUGGACAUUAACUGACGCUGAGGCGCGAAAGCGUGGGGAGCAAACAGGAUUAGAUACCCUAGUAGUC
rnacentral:rRNA from 1 species